CCCGGGAUAGCCCCAGGGAAACCUGGAUUAAUACCGGAUGAGACGGGACCCGCGAUGGCGGGACCCGGGAAAGGCGCUGCGGCGCCGCCGGGGGAUGAGUCUGCGUCCCAGUUAGCUAGACGGCGGGUAACGGCCCACCGUGGCGACGAUGGGUAGCCGGCCUGAGAGGGUCGGACGGCCACAUUGGAACUGAGACACGGUCCAGACUCCUACGGGAGGCAGCAGCUAAGAAUCUUCCGCAAUGGGCGAAAGCCUGACGGAGCGACGCCCGCGUGAACGAAGAAGGCCGUGAGGUUGUAAAGUUCUUUUCGGGAGGGGGAACAACCGUGGCAGGGAAUGGCCGCGGGAUGACGUGAAUCCCGGAAUAAGCCCCGGCUAACUACGUGCCAGCCGCUGC
rnacentral:rRNA from 1 species